rnacentral:rRNA from 1 species
CCUACACAUGCAAGUCGAGCGCGAAAGCACUUCGGUGUGAGUAGAGCGGCGGACCCCUUAAUAACGCGUAGGAAUCUACCUAGUAGUGGGGGACAAAUCGGGGAAACUCGAGCUAAUACCGCAUAAGCCCUACGGGGGAAAGCGGGGGACCUUCGGGCCUCGUGCUAUUAGAUGAGCCUGCGUUGGAUUAGCUAGUUGGUGGGGUAAAGGCCUACCAAGGCGACGAUCCAUAGCUGGUCUGAGAGGAUGAUCAGCCACACCGGGACUGAGACACGGCCCGGACUCCUACGGGAGGCAGCAGUGGGGAAUAUUGCGCAAUGGGCGAAAGCCUGACGCAGCCAUGCCGCGUGUGUGAAGAAGGCCUUCGGGUUGUAAAGCACUUUCAAUUGGGAGGAAAGGUUCACGGUUAAUAACCGUGAGCUGUGACGUUACCUUUAGAAGAAGCACCGGCUAACUCCGUGCCAGCAGCCGCGGUAAUACGGAGGGUGCGAGCGUUAAUCGGAAUUACUGGGCGUAAAGCGCGCGUAGGUGGUCUGUUAAGUCGGAUGUGAAAGCCCCGGGCUCAACCUGGGAACUGCAUUCGAUACUGGCAGACUAGAGUGCGAGAGA